rnacentral:rRNA from 1 species
AUAUUAAAGUUGUUGCGGUUAAAAAGCUCGUAGUUGGAUUUCUGCCGAGGACGACCGGUCCGCCCUCUGGGUGAGCAUCUGGCUCGGCCUGGGCAUCUUCUUGGAGAACGUAGCUGCACUUGACUGUGUGGUGCGGUAUCCAGGACUUUUACUUUGAGGAAAUUAGAGUGUUUCAAGCAGGCAUACGCCUUGAAUACAUUAGCAUGGAAUAAUAAGAUAGGACCUCGGUUCUAUUUUGUUGGUUUCUAGAGCUGAGGUAAUGAUUAAUAGGGAUAGUUGGGGGCAUUCGUAUUUAACU